CGUCGGCGAUGUCGUCGCGGACGAGCAGCUCCGCCCAGAUGCGGCGCAGGGCGUCGCGGGUCGCGGUGCCCGCCGGUUCCGGUUCCGGUUCCGGCGC
rnacentral:tRNA from 1 species